rnacentral:lncRNA from 1 species
CAGGGUUUGUUCAGUGCCAGCUCCACGUGCUCCAGGGUGUCUCAGUGGAUGUUCCGGACCGCCCCCGCGUGCUGAGGCAUUCUCCCUCCGCCUCGUAAUCCAGGCUUUCGCGCGGUGGCCCACAGGCUGUGGUGCGGCCGCUGCCGUGACAGGCCCUGUUGUAGCAUGAAGAAUCCCACCUGCCUCAUUCCUUCCUACUCGAACAGAUGGAUCGUAAAGGGUGACAAGAGCAGGAGAGCAGAGUGCCUGGAGAAGUCAUGCCUAGUCUCUGUAUUCUAGCUCAAAAGAGAUACUUGUCACUCUCUCUCAGAGUCAAUUGGCAAGAGCUGGUCACAUGGACACACCCGUGCAGGAAGACUGGGCGUUGAGGAAAAGCACGUGUAUGUUUGGUAAGCAGUAUAUGGG